rnacentral:rRNA from 1 species
GAGGACAGUGGCGGACUGGUGAGUAACGCGUGAGGAACCUGCCUUUCAGAGGGGGACAACAGUUGGAAACGACUGCUAAUACCGCAUGACGCAUUUUGAUCGCAUGGUCGAAAUGCCAAAGAUUUAUCGCUGAAAGAUGGCCUCGCGUCUGAUUAGCUAGUUGGUGAGGUAACGGCCCACCAAGGCGACGAUCAGUAGCCGGACUGAGAGGUUGACCGGCCACAUUGGGACUGAGAUACGGCCCAGACUCCUACGGGAGGCAGCAGUGGGGAAUAUUGGGCAAUGGGCGCAAGCCUGACCCAGCAACGCCGCGUGAAGGAAGAAGGCUUUCGGGUUGUAAACUUCUUUUAAGUGGGAAGAGCAGAAGACGGUACCACUUGAAUAAGCCACGGCUAACUACGUGCCAGCAGCCGCGGUAAUACGUAGGUGGCAAGCGUUGUUCGGAUUUACUGGGUGUAAAGGGCGUGCAGCCGGGCAUGCAAGUCAGAUGUGAAAUCUCAGGGCUUAACCCUGAAACUGCAUUUGAAACUGUAUGUCUUGAGUGCCGGAGAGGUAAUC